GUGGGGAAUCUUGCGCAAUGGGCGAAAGCCUGACGCAGCCAUGCCGCGUGAAUGAUGAAGGUCUUAGGAUUGUAAAAUUCUUUCACCGGGGACGAUAAUGACGGUACCCGGAGAAGAAGCUCCGGCUAACUUCGUGCCAGCAGCCGCGGUAAUACGAAGGGGGCUAGCGUUGCUCGGAAUUACUGGGCGUAAAGGGCGCGUAGGCGGACAGCUUAGUCAGAGGUGAAAGCCCAGGGCUCAACCUUGGAAUUGCCUUUGAUACUGGCUGUCUUGAGUUUGGGAGAGGUGAGUGGAACUCCGAGUGUAGAGGUGAAAUUCGUAGAAAUUCGGAAGAACACCAGUGGCGAAGGCGACUCACUGGCCCAAUACUGACGCUGAGGCGCGAAAGCGUGGGGAGCAAACAGGAUUAGAUACCGUGUAGUCC
rnacentral:rRNA from 1 species